GUGGGGAAUCUUCCACAAUGGACGAAAGUCUGAUGGAGCAACGCCGCGUGAGUGAAGAAGGGUUUCGGCUCGUAAAGCUCUGUUGUCGGGGACGAAUGUGCAGUAUUUGAAUAAAGUACUGCAAUGACGGUACCUGACGAGGAAGCCACGGCUAACUACGUGCCAGCAGCCGCGGUAAUACGUAGGUGGCAAGCGUUGUCCGGCAUUAUUGGGCGUAAAGGGAGCGCAGGCGGGAAGGUAAGUCGGUCUUAAAAGUGCGGGGCUCAACCCCGUGAUGGGAUCGAAACUAUCUUUCUUGAGUGCAGGAGAGGAAAGUGGAAUUCCUAGUGUAGCGGUGAAAUGCGUAGAUAUUAGGAGGAACACCAGUGGCGAAGGCGACUUUCUGGACUGUAACUGACGCUGAGGCUCGAAAGCCAGGGGAGCGAACGGGAUUAGAAACCCGAGUAGUCC
rnacentral:rRNA from 1 species